AAGUUCUGUCCUAGCCAACUUAGAGCUUUUAACAGUGGCUUUUCCAUAUGAAUGGUUGGUCUUGGAUAAUGCUUCACAACUUCCUAAAUAUUUCAAACAAAUAACAGAGAGCUUCAGUGAGCCUCCAGCACCAAUACUUCUUGCUAAAUGACCCCAGUCCUGGCACUAGCAGCAGCCAGCCUAGAUUCACAGCUUGGCUUCGCCUGGUAUUUUCCAAACCCAGCACAAGUAGCAGCCAUCUCAGAUUGCUUUAUAACUCAGGUAGGGUGGCACCAGG